rnacentral:rRNA from 1 species
UAGUCCACGCCGUAAACGAUGGUCACUAGCUGUUCGGACUUCGGUCUGAGUGGCUAAGCGAAAGUGAUAAGUGACCCACCUGGGGAGUACGUUCGCAAGAAUGAAACUCAAAGGAAUUGACGGGGGCCCGCACAAGCGGUGGAGCAUGUGGUUUAAUUCGAUGAUACGCGAGGAACCUUACCAGGGCUUAAAUGCAGUUUGACAGGUCUAGAGAUAGAUUUUUCUCGGACAAAUUGCAAGGUGCUGCAUGGUUGUCGUCAGCUCGUGCCGUGAGGUGUCAGGUUAAGUCCUAUAACGAGCGCAACCCCUGUUCGUUAGUUGCCAGCGAGUAAUGUCGGGAACUCUAGCAAGACUGCCGGUGCAAACCGUGAGGGAAGGUGGGGAUGACGUCAAAGUCAUCACGGGGCCCUUACGUCCUAGGGCUACACACGUGCUACAAUGGGGUAGUACAGAGAGCAGCCACUGCGCGAGC